CUUAGCUAUUUUAUCGGAAGUACCUUUAGUGACUGUCAGACUGACAGCCUCUAAAGACAUUUAAUUUAAAUCCUGCAAUGUAAACAUUGACAUUACUGCAAAACAGCAAUAUUUUAUCUUGAACGACUAAAGCUACAGAACCACUGCACCAAGACCACUUUAUUGAGAUGGUCUGUGUGACUGUAGUGGUUUUUUGAGUAUAAGGCACAUUGCAGGUUUAACAAGAAUAAAUAACAUCUUAAGUUUUAACAGUCAUUUCACUUUGCCUUUAGACAAAGCACCAUUUUGCAUGAAUCACAG